rfam:Helianthus annuus linkage group 3, whole genome shotgun sequence.
ACUUAAAACGUCAUUGAGUGCAGCGUUGAUGAAACCACAUCAAACCUAAUGUUUCGUCAACUCUGCACUCAAUUAUGUUUUUA